CAAACAAGCUAUAGCUCACCUUAAAUAACCCCACGGGCACAAAUUAGUUCAUAACUAAAAGCGUUUUAAGUUGGGGCGACUGCGGGGAAAAACAAAACCCCCAUGAAACACAUUAUUUUAAGUGUACACACUGACAAUAAAAGAUUGACCCAGUAUAACUGAUUAACGGACCAAGUUACCCCAGGGAUAACAGCGCAAUC
rnacentral:rRNA from 1 species